rnacentral:rRNA from 1 species
CAACGUGAGCAACCUGCCUUUCAGUGGGGGACAACAUUUGGAAACGAAUGCUAAUACCGCAUAAGACCACAGUGUCGCAUGGCACAGGGGUCAAAGGAUUUAUCCGCUGAAAGAUGGGCUCGCGUCCGAUUAGCUAGAUGGUGAGGUAACGGCCCACCAUGGCGACGAUGCGUAGCCGACCUGAGAGGGUGAUCGGCCACAUUGGGACUGAGACACGGCCCAGACUCCUACGGGAGGCAGCAUG